AACACUUCUCCCCUUCUCUCUGUCCAAAGAACAAAUAGACAAGAGGAGGAGAAGAAAAAGAAAAAUCAUCUGACAUUUCGUAUUUUCUUUGCCUCUCUAUUCUCUUUUACUCUUCUUUCUUGUAUAUCCACCUCAUGAAGGAAACCUUCCGAAUUUUCUCAUAAACCCUAGAUUACGAUUCGAAUUUCCCUAUGGACCCACCUCUCUUCAUCUCCCC
rnacentral:misc_RNA from 1 species